rnacentral:rRNA from 1 species
UACGAAGGGGGGCUAGCGUUGCUCGGAAUUACUGGGCGUAAAGGGAGCGUAGGCGGACUGUUUAGUCAGAGGUGAAAGCCCAGGGCUCAACCUUGGAAUUGCCUUUGAUACUGGCAGUCUUGAGUACGGAAGAGGUAUGUGGAACUCCGAGUGUAGAGGUGAAAUUCGUAGAUAUUCGGAAGAACACCAGUGGCGAAGGCGACAUACUGGUCCGUUACUGACGCUGAGGCUCGAAAGCGUGGGGGAGCAAACAGG